rnacentral:rRNA from 1 species
GAUAAGGAGCUUGCUCCUUUGACGUUAGCGGCGGUACGGGUGAGUAACACGUGGAUAACCUACCUAUAAGACUGGGAUAACUUCGGGAAACCGGAGCUAAUACCGGAUAAGAUUUUGAACCGCAUGGUUCAAUAGUGAAAGACGGCCUUGCUGUCACUUAUAGAUGGAUCCGCGCCGUAUUAGCUAGUUGGUAAGGUAACGGCUUACCAAGGCAACGAUACGUAGCCGACCUGAGAGGGUGAUCGGCCACACUGGAACUGAGACACGGUCCAGACUCCUACGGGAGGCAGCAGUAGGGAAUCUUCCGCAAUGGGCGAAAGCCUGACGGAGCAACGCCGCGUGAGUGAUGAAGGUCUUCGGAUCGUAAAACUCUGUUAUCAGGGAAGAACAAACGUGUAAGUAACUGUGCACGUCUUGACGGUACCUGAUCAGAAAGCCACGGCUAACUACGUGCCAGCAGCCGCGGUAAUACGUAGGUGGCAAGCGUUAUCCGGAAUUAUUGGGCGUAAAGCGCGCGUAGGCGGUUUUUUAAGUCUGAUGUGAAAGCCCACGGCUCAACCGUGGAGGGUCAUUGGAAACUGGAAAACUUGAGUGCAGAAGAGGAAAGUGGAAUUCCAUGUGUAGCGGUGAAAUGCGCAGAGAUAUGGAGGAACACCAGUGGCGAAGGCGACUUUCUGGUCUGUAACUGACGCUGAUGUGCGAAAGCGUGGGGGAUC